GGGCGCAAKYCUGAUGCAGCCAUGCCGCGUGUAUGAAGAAGGCCUUCGGGUUGUAAAGUACUUUCAGCGGGGAGGAAGGGAGUAAAGUUAAUACCUUUGCUCAUUGACGUUACCCGCAGAAGAAGCACCGGCUAACUCCGUGCCAGCAGCCGCGGUAAUACGGAGGGUGCAAGCGUUAAUCGGAAUUACUGGGCGUAAAGCGCACGCAGGCGGUUUGUUAAGUCAGAUGUGAAAUCCCCGGGCUCAACCUGGGAACUGCAUCUGAUACUGGCAAGCUUGAGUCUCGUAGAGGGGGGUAGAAUUCCAGGUGUAGCGGUGAAAUGCGUAGAGAUCUGGAGGAAUACC
rnacentral:rRNA from 1 species